UGGCUCAGUUGGUAGAGCACAGCGCUUGCAAAGGCGGUGUUGUGGGUUCGAUUCCCAC
rnacentral:tRNA from 1 species